AUGGGUUUUUGGUUCUUCAGCUGCCUGGCCCUUUGUCUCCUGGUGGUAGGUCCAGUGGACCCUAGAAUUACCCAGACACCAAAACAUCUGGUGGCAGUCACAGGGAAUGAAAGAACCCUGAAAUGUAAACAGCAUCUAGGUCACAAUGCUAUGUACUGGUAUAGACAAAGCGCUAAAAGGUCCCUAGAGCUCAUGUUUUCCUAUAACUAUCAAGCACUUGUUGAAAACCAGACUAUCCAAAGUCGCUUCCAACCUCACAGUCCAGAGAAAUCCGACUUAGAUCUUCAGAUCUUCGCCCUGGAACCUGACGACUCGGCCACAUAUUUCUGCGCCAGCAGCCAAGACACAGCCCUGCAGAACUAA